rnacentral:misc_RNA from 1 species
GAAAUGCGAUAAGUAAUGUGAAUUGCAGAAUUCCGUGAAUCAUCGAAUCUUGAACGCACAUUGCGCCCUCUGGUAUUCCGGGGGGCAUGCCUGUCCGAGCGUCAUUGCGAACCCCUCAAGCACGGCUUGUGUGAUGGGCCCUCCCGCGUCUUGGUCGUCAAGACGGGCCCGAAAUGCAGUGGCGGCUUCGCGGUUAUCCGAUCAGCCAGAGCGUAUGGGGACUCUCUCUCUUGUCACACGCCCGCGGCGCGGACCGACGCCUGUCGACCUUUAUUCAUCUUCUCUCGGUUGACCUCGGAUCAGGUAGGGAUACCCGCUGAACUUAAGC